rnacentral:rRNA from 1 species
GGAUCCAGACUUUGAUCAUGGCUCAUGAUGAACGCUAGCUACAGGCUUAACACAUGCAAGUCGAGGGGCAGCGGGAUUGAAGCUUGCUUCAAUUGCCGGCGACCGGCGCACGGGUGAGUAACGCGUAUCCAACCUUCCGUACACUCAGGGAUAGCCUUUCGAAAGAAAGAUUAAUACCUGAUGGUAUGAUGAGAUUGCAUGAUAGCAUCAUUAAAGAUUUAUCGGUGUACGAUGGGGAUGCGUUCCAUUAGGUAGUAGGCGGGGUAACGGCCCACCUAGCCAACGAUGGAUAGGGGUUCUGAGAGGAAGGUCCCCCACAUUGGAACUGAGACACGGUCCAAACUCCUACGGGAGGCAGCAGUGAGGAAUAUUGGUCAAUGGACGAGAGUCUGAACCAGCCAAGUAGCGUGAAGGAUGAAGGUCCUACGGAUUGUAAACUUCUUUUAUAAGGGAAUAAACCCUCCCACGUGUGGGAGCUUGUAUGUACCUUAUGAAUAAGCAUCGGCUAACUCCGUGCCAGCAGCCGCGGUAAUACGGAGGAUGCGAGCGUUAUCCGGAUUUAUUGGGUUUAAAGGGAGCGCAGACGGGUCGUUAAGUCAGCUGUGAAAGUUUGGGGCUCAACCUUAAAAUUGCAGUUGAUACUGGCGUCCUUGAGUGCGGUUGAGGUGUGCGGAAUUCGUGGUGUAGCGGUGAAAUGCUUAGAUAUCACGAAGAACUCCGAUUGCGAAGGCAGCACACUAAUCCGUAACUGACGUUCAUGCUCGAAAGUGUGGGUAUCAAACAGGAUUAGAUACCCUGGUAGUCCACACGGUAAACGAUGGAUACUCGCUGUUGGCGAUAUACUGUCAGCGGCUUAGCGAAAGCGUUAAGUAUCCCACCUGGGGAGUACGCCGGCAACGGUGCAACUCAAAUGAAUUGACGG